CCCUAGCUGGUCUGAGAGGAUGAUCAGCCACACUGGAACUGAGACACGGUCCAGACUCCUACGGGAGGCAGCAGUGGGGAAUAUUGCACAAUGGGCGAAAGCCUGAUGCAGCCAUGCCGCGUGUAUGAAGAAGGCCUUCGGGUUGUAAAGUACUUUCAGUUGUGAGGAAGGGGGUGUCGUUAAUAGCGGCAUCUCUUGACGUUAGCAACAGAAGAAGCACCGGCUAACUCCGUGCCAGCAGCCGCGGUAAUACGGAGGGUGCGAGCGUUAAUCGGAAUUACUGGGCGUAAAGCGCAUGCAGGUGGUUCAUUAAGUCAGAUGUGAAAGCCCGGGGCUCAACCUCGGAACUGCAUUUGAAACUGGUGAACUAGAGUACUGUAGAGGGGGGUAGAAUUUCAGGUGUAGCGGUGAAAUGCGUAGAGAUCUGAAGGAAUACCAGUGGCGAAGGCGGCCCCCUGGACAGAUACUGACACUCAGAUG
rnacentral:rRNA from 1 species